rnacentral:rRNA from 1 species
CGCAGGCGGUUUCAUAAGUCAGGUGUGAAAGCCCGGGGCUCAACCCCGGAAGUGCACUUGAAACUAUGGGACUUGAGUAUGGGAGAGGGAAGUGGAUUCCUGGUGUAGCGGUGAAAUGCGUAGAUAUCAGGAGGAACAUCGGUGGCGAAGGCGACUUCCUGGACCAACACUGACGCUGAGGCGCGAAGGCGUGGGGAGCAAACA